rnacentral:rRNA from 1 species
ACGGAAGGCAGCAGUGGGGGAUAUUGCGCAAUGGGGGCAACCCUGACGCAGCAACGCCGCGUGAAGGAAGAAGGUUUUCGGAUCGUAAACUUCUUUAAGUGUGGAAGAAAUUGACGGUACACACAGAAUAAGCCACGGCUAACUACGUGCCAGCAGCCGCGGUAAUACGUAGGUGGCGAGCGUUGUCCGGAUUUACUGGGUGUAAAGGGCGUGUAGGCGGGACUACAAGUCAGAUGUGGAAUACCGGGGCUUAACUCCGGAGCUGCAUUUGAAACUGUAGUUCUUGAGUGCCGGAGAGGAAAGCGGAAUUCCUAGUGUAGCGGUGAAAUGCGUAGAUAUUAGGAAGAACACCAGUGGCGAAGGCGGUUAGCUGGACAAUAACUGACGCUGAGGCGCGAAAGCGUGGGUAGCAAACAGGAUUAGAUACCCUGGUA